rnacentral:antisense_RNA from 1 species
GGAAUAUGAAGGGAGAAUGAAACAAAACUGCUCCGCUCAGGGAACUUGGAAAGGAAAUUGAAAAGGCAAGGCACAGGCUGGAAGAAAAUAUUUGAAAAAGAUUUAUGUGAACUUCUUUCUGGAUUAUACAAAAUAUUUUUAGAUAUUCUUACAACUCUAAAAUAAGAUAACUCCUUAAAAAUGUGAAUUCUACCAAAGGAGAGAUGAAGAUGACGAAUAUAUUCAAAGAUGCUGAAAAUCACUUAUUUAUUAUUAGGAAGUUACAAGCUAAAGCAUAAUGAGAUACCACUACAACCUACUAAACUGACUAAAAUUAAUCAGACUAACCAGGUGUUGGCAAGAAACAGGGACACUGAGACUCUCACACUGCUGGAAGGAAUGUAAAAUGCUAAAACUUCUUUGGAAAUGAGUUCAGUAACUUUUUAAACAGUUGAAAAUAGACCUAUCAUGCAAACCAGCAAUCCCACUUCUAGUUGACAUGCAGGCUGGACAUACAGUGGGCCUCGAUUGCUUAGAAGCCAAACUGAACUCACCAAGAAAAGAAGACAGGAGAAACUUCUCAAGAGGAAUAUCUCCAAAUUGCAGGAUCGAAUACCAUAAGAGGAAUUCUGGACUGAAGAGUUAUGAAGUCAU